UUUGUUCAUAUUUCUUUGAUGGUUAAUAUUCAUAGCUUGAUCUAUGAUGAUUAAUCCAUGAUUGCAUUUGAAGUGGUCCCUGUAUCCAUGAGUAAGCUUUAAAAUUUGGUUAUCUCAUAUUUUUUAUGCAACGUUUCGAUGAAUCCAAAAGGGGGAAAUGGUUGUGCUUUAAACAAGUGAUGUUACACUUUGAACAGUGAUGUUUAUAACCUAAUGUAACUGGUCCUUGAUGAUAAGUGAUAAAAAGGGAAAAUAUUUCUAACAUUCUUUUGAUGUUGAGCUGAGUUGAAACAGGGCCUAAGCUUAUGAAAAGCACAGAGUUUUCCAUUAUCAAAAAGGAGGAAUUUAUUAGCCCAAAUAAAUGUUAGUUUUGAAGACUGACAAAGGAACUCAUGCUGAAUCAGGUCCAUCACUCAUUUGCACAAAAACGGGUAGAUUCGAGCAUGUGGCUUGCAAAUGAAGGAGAUAAGAUUAACUUGAUGUAUUUAAUAUCUUCUGAUCGAAAAGGUUGCAUAAUUGAUAAGGAGAAGGAUUCCUUAAUAAAAGAGAUCACAAUUCAAGAUAGGACAGGAGUUAGAAAUUAAAAUUAACUAGAACUUUUCCACCAAGGAAGAGUUGCAUCAGAACUCUAGUUAUUUCUUCAUCUACUAACUCUAUAAAUUGCAGGAUGCUCUCGCAUAAAAUUAUUGCGCACAAACGCAGAAGUUAAACGUAAAUUGGGAGCAAAAUAGCAAGGUUUUUUGCAAGCAGUUCAUACGUGAUUCAAGUGUGCAAACCUGAAGUUACAUGAACUAGACUGAAGUUACAUGAACCAGAUUGAAGCAACCUCCACUUCCAACCGAGAGGUUGUGAGUUCGAGUCUCCACAAGAGCAAGGUGGAAGUUCUUGGAAGGAAGAAUGCAGGGGGUCUAUUUGGAAACAACCUCUCUACCCUAAGUAAGGGUAAGAUCUGCCUACACACUACCCUCCCCAGACCCCACUAAGUAAGAUAAUAAUGGGUUGUUCUGUUGUUGUUGUUAUUGUUGUUGCUGUUGUUUCUAGUUCAAUUGUUA
rnacentral:lncRNA from 1 species